CGAAAUUCCUCUGUUGUCUUCCAGGGGACCUCAACCCAAACGAAAUACCACCCCACACUCAUCCUCGACAGCGCUCGACCCAUAAUGUGGCAAGGAUGGAGCUCGACCCAAACGGUGACAAAGCUCAAUAUUUCUCUCUCUCUCUCUCUCUCUCUCUCUCUCUCUCUAUGAUGAAGAAUUCCUCUGCUUUGGUUCUUCAAGCCGUUAAAGCAUCUUUUAGAGAGAUUUGGUCAAAUGGGAUGUAUAUGUUCCGUUGAUCAGUAGUUCUUCACGGCUCGACAAGGUUGAGCUCUGUCGCGGGUCGAGUUCUGUCACGGUUUGACAGGGUCGAGCUUUGGGGUGGCAGUGCAAAGUGACGAUGACGAUGUCAACAUGUAAAAGAAUUUGGCUUGUUUGAAAUGAGGAAGAGAAAACACAAGCAUGAGGAAGCGCUUGUGGUGAUUCUUUGUGGCAAGGUUGCAUUUCUGUAUUGUGUUUUUUCCAACGUGUCACCAUCUCAUUAGAAGGCCGCUCUUCUAAUUUAAAUAGCCUGAUUGCUCCUAAGCACUUCUGUGUAUAUAUAUACGAGUAGAAUUAAAAAGUCCAAGGGACGUUUGCCUAGUGGAGGUAAAAUAUAAAUGUAAAA